CGGCGGACGGGUGAGUAACGCGUGGGUAACCUACCUUACACAGGGGGAGUAACAGUUAGAAAUGACUGCUAAUACCGCAUAACCCGCUAGGGCCGCAUGGCCCGGACGGAAAAGAUUUCAUCGGUGUAAGAUGGACCCGCGUCUGAUUAGCUGGUUGGUGAGGUAACGGCCCACCAAGGCGACGAUCAGUAGCCGACCUGAGAGGGUGAUCGGCCACAUUGGGACUGAGACACGGCCCAAACUCCUACGGGAGGCAGCAG
rnacentral:rRNA from 1 species